rnacentral:lncRNA from 1 species
CUUUCAGCAGGUUGUUCUUGUGUUGCCUACUUACCCCACAGCAACAAACCCCUGUACCAACAUCACCUGAGGCACCAAUUAAAGCAUCAUGAAAGGCUAAAGUACACGUGGGAGAGUGUUGCUGAGCAGAAGACUGGUAGUUCAUGUGGUAACUUGAUAUAUCUGCUCAGCUCUCCUGUGAACCUUGAACUUUGUCCAUCUGCUGAUUUACCGCUCUAAGAAGUUACAAUACAGGGAAAAGAUGAGAAUUUUAAGCGAAGAGGCUGGUUUCCACAGAAGAAUGAAGAACUGGGAUGCCCCAGGCCCUACUGGAGUUACACACAACACCACAGUCCCACAGCUCUGCUGGGAGUACCUGAAUCCUGGGAGAAGCUGGCAUACCAUGGCCCUGAUAAGAGUCAGAAAAAAACUUCCACCAGUCUGACAUAAACAAACCACUCUCCUGCCUCAGCCAUUCUCUCUCAGUUUUUCUCCCAGCUAGGAGCUGUGAAGUUACAGUGAAUUUUACUCUCAGUAAAACCAUAAAUUGUAGAAAGAUACAACCUCUUUUUGCUAGUUAUCAGCCAAGAAAUGGCUUAACAGCUAUUUGUUUGUUUAAUGAUUUUAUAUACAUUAUUGUCAGGCUGAGUGACAGUAACAAAGAUAAAACAACAAAGAAAAGAUAAAUAAAAGGAAACAGAAAAUGAAGGAAAUAGUACA